UACAGAGGUCCCAAGCGUUGUUCGGAUUCAUUGGGCGUAAAGGGUGCGUAGGUGGCGCGCUAAGUCAGGUGUGAAAUUUCGGAGCUUAACUUCGAAACUGCAUUUGAUACUGGUGUGCUUGAGGACUGGAGAGGAGACUGGAAUUUACGGUGUAGCAGUGAAAUGCGUAGAGAUCGUAAGGAAGACCAGUGGCGAAGGCGGGUCUCUGGACAGUUCCUGACACUGAGGCACGAAGGCCAGGGGAGCAAACGGG
rnacentral:rRNA from 1 species